rnacentral:rRNA from 1 species
UACAGAGGUGGCAAGCGUUGUUCGGAAUUACUGGGCGUAAAGGGCGCGUAGGCGGCGUGUCAAGUCAAUUGUGAAAUCUCCGAGCUUAACUCGGAACGGUCAAUUGAUACUGAUGUGCUAGAGUGCAGAAGGGGCAAUCGGAAUUCUUGGUGUAGCGGUGAAAUGCGUAGAUAUCAAGAGGAACACCUGAGGUGAAGACGGGUUGCUGGGCUGACACUGACGCUGAGGCGCGAAAGCUAGGGUAGCAAACGGG